rnacentral:rRNA from 1 species
UACGAAGGGGGCUAGCGUUGCUCGGAAUUACUGGGCGUAAAGGGCGCGUAGGCGGACAGUUUAGUCAGAGGUGAAAGCCCAGGGCUCAACCUUGGAAUUGCCUUUGAUACUGGCUGUCUUGAGUUCGGGAGAGGUGAGUGGAAUGCCGAGUGUAGAGGUGAAAUGCGUAGAUAUCCGGAGGAAUACCAAAGGCGAAGGCAGUGUCCUGGCUGGCAUCUGACGCUGAGGCGCGAAAGCUAGGGGAGCGAACAGG